rnacentral:rRNA from 2 species
AAAACGACUCUCGGCAACGGAUAUCUCGGCUCUCGCAUCGAUGAAGAACGCAGCGAAAUGCGAUACUUGGUGUGAAUUGCAGAAUCCCGUGAACCAUCGAGUUUUUGAACGCAAGUUGCGCCCAAAGCCUUCGGGCCGAGGGCACGUCUGCCUGGGUGUCACGC